ACUCUGGGAAAGAUGAUCCUUACCACUUGCUAAUUGUUAAUUGCGAGUUCGUCCUGUUCAUGGGCUUUUAUUGUCGUAGCAACAAAAAAAAAAAAAAAAAAAAAUGCCAAGCAUGAACUUCAUUUUGGUUUGUUGCGUGACUAAAACUGUUUUCGACCUAUUCAUUUGUCUACUACAACAAGAAGAGAUUACAUCAACAUCCAAACGGUGAUGUGCCAAUUCUGCCAGGUUGCUCAUGUGGAUGCAGGCUUACAAAGUCCAGGAAUGGUUGAUCUGCUAGAUGCAUAACCAGUGAUCCGGCCUCCCAUCCAGUGUUUACCUCCGCGACUGUGGAGAUGAGCCGAGGUUAAAUCAGCGCUUGUCUUCUCUCUCUGAACAUCUAAAUCUUCAGUGGAGAGAAGUAAGAUGUACUCCUCCUUUCAUCCAUCCACCUCCUUUGGGGAAAUUAAUGAGGGGGGAGCCCCCUUGGCCAAGGUGGAUAAUGAUCCCGGACCGCGGGGAUGAGAGGCUGCAGUGGAUCAGGCAGAAGGUGAGAACGGGAAAGGGGGAUUAGAGACGGACUCCCACCAGAAUCAAACAGGACUCUGCCAAAGGGAUCCCUCCCCUCCGAUUGCCCAAACUUCAAAAAGUCCUUCCUAAGCUGGAAGUAGGUGUCUGUAAUCCCCUCUGUGGCUGCAGAUCUAUGCGGCCGACCCGGGCCCGAGCUUUCAUGCUGCAGCUUGUUCGGCGUGCUCUCCCUCCAUGUCCUGGGAACGUAAACUUUUGCACCACGCCGGCUCAUUGCAGAUCGCGGGGAUGUGCUUGCUCAUUACCUCUUCAUUAGCUCAUUGCAUCGUCGACUGCCAAGAAGAUCAGUCCCAUGCGUUGCGUACCCCUUUCCUGCACCUCACUGCUUGUUGGGGGGCAAAGAACGAGAGCCUUUUAAUUAAUUUGGGUGUGUACAAGUAAAUAUUAGGACAGCAAUUCACAGGAAUACAAAAUCUUAAAGCCAGUUAAUGUUAACAAUAAAUGUAUGAGUUAAGAAAAAGUGUGAAAAUCUGAAUUCACAACAAAGUAUUAGUUUGGUGAUUAACAAGAUUUUCUUGAACACUAUUGUAAAUCAAGAGAAAUGUUAUUUAUUUCUUACAUUGGAUUAACCAGGCAUACAUUAAACUAUUAGGAUAUUAAACAUUUAU